ACCAUUUACAAAAUAAAGUUACAGAAAACACAAACGCUUCGUCGGAGCUCAGCUUCCCGCUUCAGAAUCGGAGUUGAAAUCGAAAAUUUUGAAAGUUUUUAGAAUCUCACUUCCAUAACGCUUCUGAAAAAAACACUUUGAAAACUUAUUGGAAGCUGUAGAUUUCAUUUUGGAAGUUUACGCUUCCAUUUAAAUUUUGAUUAUUCACAAAUAAAUAAGAAUCACAUAAU
rnacentral:sRNA from 1 species